rnacentral:rRNA from 1 species
GUAGUCAUAUGCUUGUCUCAAAGAUUAAGCCAUGCAUGUCUAAGUAUAAGCAAUUAUACCGCGAAACUGCGAAUGGCUCAUUAUAUAAGUUAUCGUUUAUUUGAUAAUACUUUACUACUUGGAUAACCGUGGUAAUUCUAGAGCUAAUACAUGCUGAAAAUCCCGACUUCGGAAGGGAUGUAUUUAUUAGAUUAAAAACCAAUGCCCCUCGGGGCUCUCUGGUGAAUCAUAAUAACUAGUCGAAUCGACAGGCCUUGUGCCGGCGAUGGCUCAUUCAAAUUUCUUCCCUAUCAACUUUCGAUGUUUGGGUAUUGGCCAAACAUGGUGGCAACGGGUAACGGGGAAU